CGAGAUAUUGACAUUUAUAAAGGCCUAAGAUGGAGGAGCCUAUUGGAUCUUGGGUUUUCCCGAGGCUUUCCCUCACAUUAGCCUCAAAGGAGAUGGUUUAUUUUUCAAAAUGGAUCUAUAGGCAUAGGAACAGGCUCAGAAAAGACAAAUCUUUUCAAAGGUUGCUUCAAAUAGAGAGGCUAAUAAAGAGAUAUUUAAAAAUAAAUAUUACGAACUUAGCUAAACAAGCACUCAAAGAAACAAAUUCAUCAGGCAGGGUCGUCUCCUCAACUCAA